GGUUGAUCCUGCCAGUAGCAUAUGCUUGUCUCAAAGAUUAAGCCAUGCAUGUCUAAGUAUAAACACCUUUAUACUGUGAAACUGCGUACAGCUCAUUAUAUCAGUAAUUAUUUAUUUGAUGGUCAACUACUACAUGGAUACCUGUAGUAAUUCUAGAGCUAAUACAUGCACAAAGUCCUGACUCGCGAGGGAAGGGAUGUAUUUAUUAGAUAAAAAAUCAAUGCUGGUUCUACCAGGUCAAUUGAUGAGUCAUAAUAACUGUUCGAAUCGCACGGCCUUGCGCUGGCGAUAGU
rnacentral:rRNA from 1 species